CCCUAACCCUUAUGGGAACGGCAUCCUGUGGCGCUGGGGUUCGCCACAAGAGAUAUAGUGGACAGCAGGAUUAGCU
rnacentral:misc_RNA from 1 species